UCCCUGGUUGUCCAGUGGCUAAGACUCUGCACUCCUGAUGCAGGGGUCCCAGGUUUAAUCCCUGGUCGGGGAA